AUGUUUGAUUCCUCCAACUUCCACACCAAAACUCAUCAUGAUCCAAGCUCCAAAUGGAAAAAGUUUCAACAUCAAAGUUGUUUCCUUUCAUGCUAGCUUUCGAAAGAGUCAAAGAUCAUGACAUUUGGAUUAAUUUUGAGGGACUUGCGCAUGGAUGCAUUGCAUGGCCCUAUUUGGAAACUUCUGUGAUCAAUUUUCAACCAACAUUGCAUGGCUUCAUGAAU
rnacentral:lncRNA from 1 species